rnacentral:rRNA from 1 species
GAUGAACGCUGGCGGCGUGCCUAAUACAUGCAAGUCGAGCGAACAGAUGAGAAGCUUGCUUCUCUGAUGUUAGCGGCGGACGGGUGAGUAACACGUGGGUAACCUACCUAUAAGACUGGGAUAACUUCGGGAAACCGGAGCUAAUACCGGAUAACAUUUGGAACCGCAUGGUUCUAAAGUGAAAGAUGGUUUUGCUAUCACUUAUAGAUGGACCCGCGCCGUAUUAGCUAGUUGGUAAGGUAACGGCUUACCAAGGCGACGAUACGUAGCCGACCUGAGAGGGUGAUCGGCCACACUGGAACUGAGACACGGUCCAGACUCCUACGGGAGGCAGCAGUAGGGAAUCUUCCGCAAUGGGCGAAAGCCUGACGGAGCAACGCCGCGUGAGUGAUGAAGGGUUUCGGCUCGUAAAACUCUGUUAUUAGGGAAGAACAAACGUGUAAGUAACUGUGCACGUCUUGACGGUACCUAAUCAGAAAGCCACGGCUAACUACGUGCCAGCCGCCGCGGUAA